UCGGAGGGUUGUAGAAAGAAAAUCUGGCUGCGCUCGAUCUGAUCACGGCCCAUUGACUGGAAGGGUCACGAGCGUGAGGUUCCUUCGAGGAACGCGAAAAGCAUGGAUGAAGAUACUGCUCUUCCCUGAAGAGGAGCAUUAAUUAAGGAUGCAAGGAUAUUAAUCAUUCUAAUUUUGCUGGUGAUGGUAAGUGCAUCCCAUAUUAGCAAACCCCAACAGCCUACAGCAGUGUUGUUUAUACACGUCCAGGUUUAAACAUAGUAUGGAAGGGUUAGUUGGAGCCAGGGCAGGUAAUAGGUGUAAGUGCUUGGAAUAGUCAUUCUUUAGGUGUACAGAGUAGUUCAUAAUCAGCUUCCUGUGAAGUUGAAAAAGUGAUUUUGUCAUAUCCCCUAAUCAUUUUUUUGAGAUGACUGAUAACAUCAAGAUAGAGCUACAUCAAACUUUACACCUCAGCUGUACCCUGCCCGCCACACUUUUACAUCUUUAUUCUCCAGCUCCCAGUUUGGACAGGAGUUUUGAGGGGACCAAAAGUAAGAAGUGCAGGUCAGCAUGCAGAAAAAGAAAGAGCAGUAAAAAAUACACUAGCAGCUUCUAUUCACUGCCUUGACUUUGUGUCCUUUUAAUAAACAGACACGGAUUCUGUUAAUGAAGGCAAAGUGCCCAGUUUCAGGAGAUGAACCACGGUUGCUUUAAGUCAGUCCACCUAUCUCAUUCUUCCUUGUCUGAUACACACUAUCCCAGAGUGCCCUACAGUGAGGAUGGCUGUUACCUGUGUAUGUCUUGAGAGAGUAAACGAGAAACCGGCUAGUGAAGUUUCUGGCAGUAGUUUUUAACCUUACAAGCACUGGGCAUGUGAAGGGAAGUGCAUUCUCUGGCGUGAGAAUGUAAUUCCUGAACUGACGCAGCCAUGUUGCACCUAUGAAGUCAUAAGCAUGAAGACACACACACACACACACACACACACACACACACACACAUCGAAGAAAGCAAAGUCACUAAGCCAAGUCAGGAAUAUCUGCAAACUUGCUGCUACAGUGUAUUGUGAUGGUUAAGCUACUGUUUGGUGCACUGUUCAUUUGCAUGUUGGGUGAUCAAUUUAAGGGAAUGGCUAAUGGAACUGAGCAGUCUGGUAUCAAUGUUUGCUAAAGACAGAUGAUGCAGAGAAGCAACCCUUGAAAUCAUGUCAGCUAUCCAAAAAGAAUAUAUUUUCCCCCUCCAGUUUUUAAUAUAAUACCUAAUUAUUAUUGGCUAUUUAUGCUAUAUUUGCAUUUUUAAAACAGUAUAGAAGUAAACACUAUUUUGUACACAUUUGUUAUUUGCUAUUUUCUGCGUGGUCAACUCUUUUGAUGAUAUAAUGUCCAGCUUUCCACAUCAGGAAGGCAUCCCAUUCUGUGUUCUCUCUCAGAAUCUUAGAGGCUAGUGAAUAACCUGGUGAAAUGUUUCAAGUAUAAUAAGAGCAUGUCAGAUUAGGCACUAUUGAUUAAAAAAAUUAAAGCCAGCCCUGAGAUACAUUUUUUUGUCAGCUAUUAGGAACUCUUAGAAAGUGACUCAAUAUAAUUAGUUGCUUUUCAAUAUAAAAAUAGAGAUUUUCAAAAUACAAGGACACUUGCUAAAGGCAAGUUAGUAAAAAUCUAGUAAGUUAUAGUCAGAACAGUAAUUACUAUUCUGAGUCGGGUACAGUGAUACCUCAGUUCAUGAACUUAAUUCUUGGGUCAGGGAUAUCGCUCAGCAGCACAAGCACCACCCUGGCAAAUGCAAGGUCCUGAGUUUAAUUUCCACUAUCAAAAAAAAAUUAAAAAAUGAAUGUAAGUUGUGAACUUAAUUCUUUUGCUGGCUGAGUCUGGUCACAAACCAAAUUGGAUAAGAACCAAAUCAAGUUCAGUGGUUAUGUUUAGUGUUGUCUUUUGGGGGAAAUUUGAUUUGAUUUUCAUGCAAUUCAGUUUGCAGCCAGAAUCACAGAAAGACAAGUUCAUGAACCCAGGUGCCGUUGUACCUGUUCUCAUCUGUGUGUCUUCUCCCUGAAUUUGUGCAUUUCACGGCAGUCAGAGAUGAUAUUAAUCUCUAUUUUAAAAUAAUUGUGAAUUCAUGAUUGCAAAAAACUUAUUUCGCAUUUACUUUGCUAAUAAUAAUGUCUUUAUCAUGAUAUCUCAUUUACUUUUUAUAAGAACCGUGAUACAUACUGUUUCUAUUUUAGAAGAGCUUGGGCUCUUAAAAGUUUCAAAAUUCACUUAAAGAGACCAUGCCACAAGUAGGAUCUAAAAAGCCUAACUGGAUUGAUUCCAAAGUAUGUAUUAUUAAUCCUAUUGGACCGUCUUCCAUAUUUAUGUAUUAUGAAGCCUUCAUUAUUGAAAAGUUUUCAUUCUUAUCUAGCAUUUCCCAUUUCAUCAAACCAGUGAAAUUAUUGAAAUUCACUGUUUAAAAAUUACUUAGUUUUACCUUUUCUAACUUAGGUUCAAUUUCCCAUGACCUGUUUCCAUAUAUAUCACCCUGGAAUAUUAAUAAUACUAGAUCUACCACUUAACUUACAUUGCAUUUUGAGUACUUGAUGAGAGUCCAUACCUGGACACUUCCAAACAAAACCCAUUCCAUGGAAUCAAAAAAUCUUUGGGCCAGAGAUAUAGCUCACAAGUGCAGAAGCCUGCAUGGCAAGCAUGAGGUUGUGAGUUUGAUCCCUGGUAGAACCACAAAAAAAAAAAAAAGAUCAAAUUCUAUGUAAUCACUUUUUUUUUUGCAAUACUACAACUUUAUUAGUGGAAAAUAUUCCACUAAUUGAAGAACUAUUUGAAAAUACACUAUUAUCUGUAUCUUAUGGAUAAUAAAGGUGUUUUAAAAUGUUCUAGACUUUUAGGACUACUAUAAGAGGAUUGGAAACUGGUGACAAAGAAUUAUUUCUAUUUUGUCUCCACGUAAUUGAGGCCAGAAAUGUCAAGGGACCGUAGUCCCUUAACAGUCUUUCAGGGGGGUCCUUUCUUUCCUCUUCUGUCUUCUUGGAGGUCCCCAGCCACUCUUUGGCAUGAGGUAGCCAAUCUCCAAACUGUCUCCUAUGUAUGGCCACCUUCCCUCUGUCUUCAUCUGGAAUUCUGCACUCUUUCUGUGUGUCCACAUAUAACCUCUCAUAAGGACACCAUUCCUAUCAGGUUAGACCAUUCUAACAAAUUCACCAUCUGCAAAGACCCUGGUUUCAACCAAGAUCAUAUUUAUAGAUACUGAGUGUUAGAAUUUAAACAUCUUUUGGCGAGAUAUGAUUCAACCUGUAGCUGUCCACAGGUUCAGUGACUAGUGAAGUGUAGAAACUACAUGUGAACUUUGGAGAUGUUAGAAUCUGACUCCGUGGCCAUCUGCCACACAUAUUUUAUCUCAGUGGCAUGUGCUUAGAGGUGAUACGUCUUGAUGUUUUCAGAAAAAGGAAAGUGUAAUAUCUGAGAAAAAAUUCAACCGUUCCAUAAAAAUUUAGAACAAAACUUCAGGUUGAUCUCAGACAUUUCUUCUUCAACAGUUAAGUGCCAAAUGCCUCUCCAGGGUUUUGAGGAAGAGAAAGUUAUGCAGUAAGAUCACUAUAAGCAGUAAUUUUUUCUUUCAGCAAGACAGACGGGCAUUCUCAGAACUGCAAGAACUCAGAAAAUAUUCCACUAAUUGAAGAACUAUUUGAAAAUACAUUCCAGUGCCUCAUAGGGUUUGGGAUUAUGUAGACCAGAAAAAAAUUUCAAAACUAAUUUUGAAGCCAAUUGGGAAAUGUCAACUUUUAACAUUACAAGGGCAUUUAAGCUAAAUCAAACUACCCUCUAAUGUUAUGAUCAUAUUGUAAAAGACCAUUUUAAUGCCAAAAACUAUUAAAAGGGUAUAAUAUGAUAGCUGCUUAAAUGGGAUAAUUUACCGUCCUGACAAAAAUAUUCUUUUUAUAACUUCAAUUUGUCCCAAAGUAACAAAGAACUUUUUCAGUAGAUAAGAUCACAACCACAAAUGAGUGCUCAGAAACCAGGGACUGACCAGAAUGCAAAGGACAUCAACUAAAACUAAGCUCUGGCUAACAGUCCAUGAUUUAUGCAACUGAUGGAAAAAUAUUAUUUGAAGCUGACUAUAAUUAUUUCCAUUUUCUAAGAAAAAUUUCAGUGGGAAAAUAAAUCUUUGCAGUACUACUCUCUUCCCCAUUCAGAGGACGAUGGAAAUAUGAAAGAAGGUACCUGAUUCCCUCAGUGGACAUCUGGGUUUCCACUUAAUGUAUUCUAAAUACUCACGAAAGUGUCUAUGAAAGGACUCAAUGUUUAAGAUGAUGAUUCGAAUUUAAACGUUUUAUUAACACUCCCUCCUAAAAGAGUAUUUCUGCAUUUGAGGUUGGGAUAGUGUAUUUCUGCAAAGGAGAGUGUACGUGAGAUCACCUGAAGAAAAGGGCCUCUCGAUAUUGAUGUGUAACAUACAAAAGGUCAGACUUAUUUGUAGAGAAAAAUUCGUUAAGCAAAAUUCACAUAAUAAUGUCCUUUUCCAACCUUAGUGCAGGAGGGCCUGAGAGCCAGGACAAACAGAAUGGGGGGUGACAGCACGGAACUAUUGGAAAUACUCAAUUCCAGUUUACACUAAGAAUGAGUUUCUCAACUGAGAAAAGCAGGGCACUUUGCAAACUUGGAAUAAAUCUAAGGAAGUGAUGGGAUUUGGGGAGUUCCACCCUAAAAUGUUGCUCCGAAGUCCUGUGAGUCUUGUGAGUUAGAACUACAAACAGGAAGUGAAGCAGUUAGGUACAGCAUAAAGGUCUUAUCUCGAAUCUAAUCACUCCGUUAUCAUUUGAAAACAAGGCCAAGGAACUCUACCUAGAUUUAAAUCCAAGCUCCUCCAUUGGCCAGUUUAAAACUAGUAUUGGCAAUAUGUUUAACCCUUUUGUACCUCAACUAACUCACUUUAUAGUAGAGACUGUAAUAGUUAUGCAUAUCAAUGUUUUUUUGAGCAUUGGUUAAGUAAUGGGAAAUUGGAAAGCUAAGUAUUUUGUAUUCAGAAGGCCUGAUACAAAGCUAAGUAACCAGAACAAGGACUUGUGCACCACAUAAUCAGGUGCUACUUUUAUGGAUGUUAUUCUCAAUAUCAUUGCCAAUCUCUACUCUGAAAUUGAUAUUAUUAUGCUCAUUUUAGGUACAAUGAAUCCAAAGUUCAGUAUAGUUUCUUAAAAAGAUGUUUUAUUUCAAAUAAUUAGUGAUACACUUGAAUUUGAAUCCAAAUCUGGCUCAAAAUUUAUUGGUUUUCUAUUGCUACUAUAAUAAAUUACCACAGCAUUGGUAUUUAAAAUAUGACAGAUUUAUUUAUCCUGUAAUACUGGAGAUCAGAAUCCCUAAAUGGGUUUCACUGGGUUAAGACCCAGGUAUCAUCAAGGCUUCCCUUCUUCAGGAGACUCACGGAGAAUCCAGGCCCUCAUCAUGUUCACUUUUUAGAAACGACACACAUUUUUUGGAUUGUGGCUUCCUUCUGUCUUCAAAGCCAGCAACGAUCGAUCAGAUCAUUCUUAUGUUGCACCAUCCUGAUGGUGAUUUCUGCCUUCCCCUCUCAUUUUUAAGACCCUUCUGAUUACCAGGCUUACCUUGGUAAUACGAGACAAUCCCCAAGAUUUAUGAUCAGUGGAUUGGAAAACAAUUUUGUCUGCAGCCUUAAUACCUUUUUCCUGUAUAACUUAACACAUCCAUUGGCUUCUAAAACUAGGACAUGGGCAUCAUUGAGAGACCGUUAGUCUGCUUACCACAGAGCCUGUGUUAUUUAUAUUUUCUUACCCCUAAUUCUGAGUCAGAAGGCUUUGAGUAAGAACACAAUUUCUUACUACUGGGAGUGUUAGAGCCUUGAGAGAUAGGGCUAAUAGGAAGUUUUUCAACCAUUAGAAGCAUGACUUUGGAGGCAGAUAUUAGCACCCCAUGCACUUCAUGUAUUUGUUUUUGCUUCCUGACUGCCAUGAGAUGAGUCUGCCUCUGCCACCCACUCCCAGCAUGAAAUACCAAUUUUCCCAAAAGAAAUGGACCAAUUUAACAUGGACUGAAACUUCUAGAACUGUGAGCUGUAGUAAAUUGUUCCACUUUUAAAAGUUGGUUAUUAUAAUGGAAAACCAACUAAUGUAAAACUUAUCCCAACAUCCCCAGUGUGAUAAACAUAGAUCCUGGUUCAUCUCUCUGUCAUGGUGACAAUUGGCAGAUAAAAAUUAUCUAAUGCUUAAAAAAAGAGCCCCAAUCUGAGGAAUCAGAUCUUUAUUUGUUGUAGGAUUUCUACCAUAAAUAUAAGAAAAUAAAUGUGGAGACAUAACAAGAUACAGAAUAUAGGUACGUAUGUAAUUUCUACUUUCAAAUCACCCUCUUUAACAUUAAUAAAUAACUUGGAAUUAUUGAGAGAUUUCCCUGUCAUAGUACCAAGAGAUAUGUAAAUAUAUACCAGUAACCUUUACUAAUGGGCUGCACUGUAUUAACAAAUAUUUUCCCAAAUUUCAGUGUCUUACCACAAUUUUUUAAAAAUCCUAUAUUUAGCUCACUUAGGGCUUUAUUUAAGGUGAACAGCUCCAAACUGCCAUCCUCCCAGUAGUAAUAGAAAGAUCCAAGCAACUUACAUCUUGUGGUUCAAUCAUUCUUAAAAUAGUGUCUAUUUGGUCACCACCUUCAAGACCUACAGAAUGUGAGGGAUUCAUAUGUACUCUUGUCCACCGACCAGAAGUGAUGAAAAUCAUUUCUACUCUAAGGACACUGGACAAAAAUAAACCCUCUGUUCCAUUGUUACUGCGAUGUAAGGGUAUCUGAGGAAUAGGCAAACAGUGCUACCCUGCUGUAGGGACAAAAAAUAUUUAGGUAAAGUAAAAGACAUCCCAUAUUUCUGUAUUAGUAGGGGUAAUACAGCAACUAUGAUAAUUCUCCUUCACAUAAUCUGUAACUGUUCACGUAAUUCCAGGUACAGUGCCAAUAAAAUUAUUCUAAAGUUUUUUGGAAAGCACAAAUGAGCUAGAAUAGCAAAGAAAAAUUGUAAUAUGAAGGAGAAUCAAGCAAGACUCUUCACUAAUGUAUUAAUAUGUACCACAAAAGCUUCGAUAGCCAAAAUAACUUCACUUUUUAAAGUAUUUAAUACUUGCCCAAGAAUAGAUCAAAAGAUCAUUGGAAUAGAAUAAAAAAUAUAAGAACCAAAGAAUAUACAGUCAUCCUUCUGUAUCUGCAAAUUCAACCACAGAUUGAAAACAUGUUGAAAAAAUGGCUGUGUCAGCACAUAGAAAGGUAUUUUUGGGUCCUUCUUUCCUAACCAGUAUAGCACAUACUUAGUGACAAUAUAUUUAUGUUAUAAGUCCUCUAGAGACGAUCUGAAGCAUACUGAAGGAUGUGUAAUAUAUAAAUAUUACACCAUGUUGUGUAAGGAACAUGAGGACCCUCAGACCCUGGUAUCUAUGGGGUAUCCCAGAACCAAUCCCUUGUGAAUGCUUGUGUAAGUAUUUAACAUAUGAUAAUAGCAGCCCAUGAAAUCAUUAUGAAAUAGUGCUCACAUGAAAAAUGAUAGAGGGACUACUAUAUCACCCCUUAGGAAGAAAAAUGUUAUGUCUGUACUUCGUGCCGUAAUCCAAAAUUUAUUUCAGAUGGUUUUUAAGUUUAUGUAGUUCAUGGAUUAAAAAUAUAGAUUUAGGAACAAUAGUAUGUUUUAUGUAAAAGAAUUCAUGAAGAUAAACAGGCAUUUACUUUUUAAUCUAGAAAUGUAAAACUUUUCUAUAUCUUAAAUAGUCCAGUUAAAAGAUAAUCAAAAACUGGGAAUGAAAUUGCAUCUUAUAUAAAAGAAAGAGUAACCUCUGUAAAAAUGAAAAUAGUAUUAGAGAUAAAUAAUAAAUGUACAACAUGAUCAAAAAGGUAGUUUAAUAUUGUUUCAAUACAUACAGUAAAAACUUCAGUAUUGUGUAGUGGAUAUCUGGGCUAUUCAUUAUAGCCCGUGCAUCAAAAGCUUGGUUUCUACCUUGGUGUUAUUGGGAGGUGGUAUACUUUAAGAGGGGAGGACUGAUGGGAGCCUUUAGAUCACUGGGAUUGUGCUCCUCCUUGAAGGGGACCAGCCCCUUACACUGCUUGCUCCUUGUCACUUUCUGUCAGCCAUGAAGUAAGCCUUUUUGCUCCACUAUAUGCUCCCACCAUGGCUUACAGGCCAAAAGCAAUGGACCAAUCUUCCAUAGACUGAACUUUCUGAACCAUGAACCGAAAUUAAACUUCUGUUUAUAAGUUGAAUAUUUCAGGUAUUUGUUAUACUGACAGAAAUAUGAUUAACAGAAAAAAUUUAAUCCUUAGUAUUUAUAAUAUAAGAAGUACUAACUCCAGUGACAUACUAGAAUCUCCUGCUUUGAAAUUGGCAAAGAUACAAAAGAAAUCACAGCCCACUUUGUGUCACAUACCUCUGAGAAACUGAGGUAGAAGACUACAAAUAAGAACCCAGGCUGGAUAAUUUAGUGACUCAGUGAAAACUUGGCUCAAAAUGAAAAAUGGGCUAGGAAUAUAGCUCAGUGCAAAGGCCCUGGGUUCAGUCCUCCAUAUAGUUAAAAGAAAUCAAAUAAAGAAAUAAAGUAAAAAUUAAAAUAAGUAAAAACUUAAAAAAUGAAGGAUAAUCACUCAGGAUUGUUGGGGUACAGGACAAGUAUAAAAUCAUAUACUUUGGGAGACAGUUUGUAUUUAAAUGCUCCAAAACUUUCUGUCUGUGCAUUGUACUAUUUAAAAUGUACCCCAAAAAUCAUACAUUUGUAGAAAUAAUUAUCUAUGAAAAUAUUCAUACAAGCUUAGCUUAGGAGAAGACACUUGAAAAAAGCUAAAUAUCCACUAGUAAUUCUUGGUAAAUGUCCAAUAAUAUCUUUGCUGAAUAAGUUGUUUUAUAACCACAUGUGCAAACAUUGUAAAUAUUGUGAAGGUUGUUUAUAGGGAUUCAGAAGGCUGUAUUUAUAGGCUGUAUUUCAAUGAGCAAAACAAACAAUCUACAGUGUGAUUCUAUUUUAGGCCUGAAGAAUCUCUAGAUGCAUUUAGAAUUUCUAGAAGCAUAUAUUCAAAAUGAAAUCUUCUUUUCAGAUUGUAUUUUUUCAGACAUUAUACAUUAGGCAUCUCUUGAUUUAAAACUGCAAAGUGGAGAGAAAUAAAUAUGGAACUCUUGAAAUAUCCCCUUGCCAAAAUUUGAAGCAUUGGAUCAACAGAAGAGAAUGACUGUUUUGCCGUCUGACUGCCUAAACACACACACACAAUUUCAGAGCUGGCUGCCUACUUCGUGGUAGCUUUGUAUUCCAAAGGCUGAGUUUUGCAAAUAAAGUUAGUGAAGUACAGCGUGUACCACUUUAGGUGGCUUUGGAGCGCAUCAGGGGUGAGUAACACUAACUCCUUCAUCUUUGGGUGACUUUGUGUAAAGCGUGGAGGUGUGGACAGAACCCGAGCUGAGAACAAUGUUUAUUUAUAUCCACACACAAUAAUUCAUGUCUCCCUAAAUCUAGGACUUUCUCCUAAUUUGUUCACCAUUUGCAAACAUUUGCAGUUCUCUCCGCUGGUGAUCCCUGGUUUGGUUUGGCUGAGCUUGAGCAAAUGAAAAGGACCAUAGAACUGAAUGGAGCUGAAUGCUUUGAUUCACACUUGGAAAGGGAAUAUUCGCUCAUGCUGACAUGUGUCAGAAACACUGAGUUUUUAGGUUUCUGUUUUGCACCGUCACUUGUUAUUCAUAGUGUAUCUGAAAUGCUUAUGCUCAGAGGUGUUUUAAACUGUGUGUGUGUGUGUGUGUGUUCAGAAGAGUUGAGGUGGAUAGGUUCCAAACUAUUUGUAGCUUUUAAAUAUAUACAAAUGAGAGAAUUUAUAAUCACUUCUCCUGCACAGAGUAGGCCUGAUUGCUUCAGCAAUUAUCAAUUCUCCGCAAGUCUUGAUUUCUUUGUAAUUUUGACAACUAUCUCUCAUCACGUAAGUAGUGUUUCAUUUGGCACCACAAUAGAUACAGAGUUAGAAGUUUUAAGCCUUGACAUGUAAUGGUGAAUUGUGGGGUUAAAAGGACAGAAUAAAACCUUAGAGAGCUAAAUAAACCUGCCCUGAAUCAAGCUUGAUACUGUUUUCUAGUUGGUUGAUUUUAGGUUUCUUAACUUGUCUGCAUCUGAUCUGUAAAAUGGAAUUAUACAAUAUAAGUUAUCAAAUAACUAAACUCAGGGUACUUUAAACUCAUGGUGCCAUUAUUUGUGGUUAGCAGGAACUUAAAUUAUUAUUUUCCUUGUGUUGCUGUUUCUCUGUCCAACCUAGAAAACCUGAAAGUCAGAAAGACAGAGCCCUCUGGAAUAUUAAAUUUUCCAACUAGACUGAUAAAUCUGAGUUGCCUAUUUUCUGAGGCCUUUAUUUAGGAAUGAGUGCCUAUUCAGAGCAAAAUUUACAACUUCACAUUUGCUGUCUCAUAUGUGAAGUUGUUGCCUUACCAGCAUAAGGGGUUAAUAUACAGACUUUGCCAAAAAAAUGUAUACACGCAUCAGGAAAAGAAGAAUUUGUAUAAGUAUUUUAAUACUAAAUUUAUUGAGACACAGUAGACUUAUACAAGGUACCUAUGGCCUCUCCAAUUACAAGACAUGCUCAAAGUGGUAGCCAUUACCUUCCAGACAUUUUUUAGUUAUGGUGAACUGCUCCUUGGGUCACCUUGGUCACUGAGAAUGCUGCAGUGUCUUUAAAGGGCAAUAGUGCAGUGAGUUGGUUUUUUUUUUUCAUGUGUGUGUGUGUGUGUGUGUGUGUGUGUGUGAUAUAUGACAUCCUACGAAGCCUCUCAUAUAAGGGUAACACCAUCUACUGAAAAAAAUUCUGCUACUUUUUGUGAAGUGCAUAUAUAUAUAUGGCAGACAUUGUAUAUCCUACUGCCCAAACUUUCACUAACAUUGGUCUGUGCACGUUGGUUAAAACUCUUCCAUUGGCCAGCCAUCUAUUUGGGUUAAAUUCUAUAGAUACAAAUCAGGUGAUCAUUUAGCUCUCAUCAAUCAACCUCCAUUAGCUUAGCUGUUAGGCCUAAGUUAUCACACCUUGACUAAGGAUACAGAAAACAGAUGGGAAGCAAGGAUGUUUGGGAAGACAGGGAGCCUGAAGCGCUGCAUCUCGGGGUGAAGGAUGGAGGGAAAUAACGUAGAGUGGGAGUGGUAGAGGGCAAGGCGCUGAGCAUCCCUGGGAAAUGGGGGAGCACAUUUCCCCUGGACGGUGUUCGCUGCCUCUAAAGCAGUCACUGAGCCUAAGAUUAGGAUGUCAUGUGAGCUCACCUGGUUUGCAGUCUGUGUGAACUCUAGAAAGAGUGGUGUGUUUUUGAAUAAGUCAAGUUCCUUCUUUCUAAUUAGUUUUAAUCUGAUAAUAUGGUACAAACUUACAUGAUAUAAUGCUUUGAAAUAUGUAUACAUUAUGGAAUGGCUAAAUCAAACAUUCAUAGGUGCGUUAUCAUGCAGUGAGUUAUUUAAACUCUAUUUUCUUAGCUGUUUUCAAGUAUAUAACACAUUGUUAUUAACAGAGUCAACAUUAUUACUAACCAUAGUCUCCAUUCUGUACAAUAUAGCCCUUAAAUUUAUUUCUCUUGCCUGUCAAUAAAUAUCUCCCCAUCCCUCCAUCAAUUAAUCUUUCAAUCAUACUUCCUAAUUACUUUAUGACCUUGAGCAAGCCAUUGCCCAAUGAGUAUUCUCUUUUUCAUCUUGGUUUUGGUAAGUGGACUUGUCAGUCAUGUUGCAAGAGCUCUCUCCUAUUAACAGUGCUCCUAACAGUCCCAGAACCUGAGGCUCCCUUGUGUGGACUGCAGUGUGAGCUCACAGCAAAGAUGCAAAGGUUUGAGCAUCUUUGAAUCCAUCUCAGCUUCUGUGCUAAGGCCAAGGUCUUCUACCCGGAAAAGUCCAACCCAAUGAAUAAGCAUGGCUCAAAAUCUAAGGGCUAGCCAUUUCUGUCUACUCUUGUCCUUGCUCUGGGGAAUCCUCACGGAUUAAAUUUUUCUAGCUCUCCGUCACAAUCCGAAGCUCUUAAUGAUUCCUGCCCCUUCCUUCCUCCACGAAUGCCAGGGAGAUCAGCAUUAUCAUCUGAAAACUUUUUCCUACAGUCCUUUUUCCAUACAGUUUUUAAUGUUCACAAAUAUCUAACCCCCUUCUAAUAAUCUACGUGCAAUCUUUACUGUCUCUGAAAGGAUCCACCUGACACCUGAUUAUGUAAAUAAUUCAGAAAUUACAAGGAACUACUACAAAUGAGACCAAAGAAUAUUUAAACAUAUAUGCCUAAACAGCAAGAGUUUAUGCCAAACACAAAGCAACCACAUGUUUAAAAUGACUUGGCAUUUUGAUACUAAUACUAUUUAUGCUGGAACUAGCAUUUCUCAUUUUAUCUAUAAGCUUGUAUUUCCCUUACCUUGGCUUUCGUGUUCUAAUUGGCAAGUAUUUUAUCCCUUUCCGGUCUUUUUACUAGAAUGAAACAUACACUUCUUACAGUCUAUAACUUUGUCAGUUCCUCAACCUUUUAAACACUUUUUUACAAGUAUACUUUUCCUAAAAUCUUGCAAAAAAAGUCUUUUUAGAAAGUUCUACAUUACCUAUCAAUAAGACAAGAAAAGUUUCUGUGUUAUUUGAAUCCACAGAGCAUAUUCAUCAUAUAAUUAAUUAAUCUCUUAACAUUUACUUAGAGGGCUCAGGGUUUUGUUAAUAAUUACAUUUGUUUCCUAAAACUGGAGUAUCGAUUACAUUUGCUACAACCGAAGCAUCAAAAUGAAAUAAUUUAAAUGAGAGAACUUUAAAGAAAUCUGCAAUGUGGGCACUUUGUAAUGUUGAACUAGGUGUGCUAGUAUUCCCUUUCUUGUAUGUUUCCAGUUACUGUGGAUCACACAUUCCGUGGGAGCUUUGGAUGGUAGAUGUGUAGCAUCAAGUAGUCUGUAUUUCACGAGUUACCACUUACACACUGGAUCACUAUUGGUGUGGGCAGCACCUAGUCCUGGAAAUGCUUCACCUUUUUUUUUUUAAUUUUUAAAAAAAUUUUAUUUAAGGAGAAAAAGAAAAAAAAAACAGAAAAAGGGUACAAGUUAUACAGAAUUUCAGAAAAAAUAAACAGUAGGAAAUCACUAGUUAAUAGAUUAUGUAUUGUCAUCUUAGAAAUAGUUGUUCAAGUUACAAAAUUAAAGCAUAUAAAGUGGACAUUCAGACAGUGAGAUUGCAAACAGUUCUGUUCAGUGAUCCAACAAAACUCAGUAAUAUGGUUAUCUAUCUUAUACACUUAAAUAUACAUGCAGUUAUAUCCUUUAGAGCACUUUCUUUUCCACUCUUUCGUACAAUUACACAUUUUGGGUUUUAUUACUCCCACAGUUCUUAUUACUUUUUUUGAAGAGAAUAAAACCAAAUGUGACAUAACAGAACAGAGUCAGUCAAAUCAAAAGGAUGGACAUAAUACAUACUGUAAAAACAAAAUACAAGGUGAUCAACAUUGGUUACCAUAAUGCCUCUUGCUAUCUUAAAGAGAAUUGCCUAUAUCAUCAGUUAUACUAUAAUUGAACAAAACAGUAAAGAACAAAACCAAUAAAACCAAAACAUUGGAGACAUUACAGGACUUCAAAAGAAGAUAAUAGUCAAACCAGAAUGGUCAUAAUGAAUCUUACUGUCUUCACAGUUGUGGCCUAUAUUCUCAAACUUGGUAGUAUCAAGCAAAACAGAAGAAUAGAAGAAAACCAGUCAAAACAAGAUGGUGAGAGUAAUACAGGGUUUCAAAUCAAGUUAAUAGGAAAUCAAAGUGUGUUACUAUAAUAUAUCCUGCUAUUUUUAUUUUUCCCUUAAUUAAAAAGAUAAAAAUAAAAAAGUAAAUAAUAAAAAGAAGAGAUUGAGAUAAAAGAGGACAUAACAAAACAGCACAGGUCAAAACAUAACCAUUUAAGCAAAAUAGUGUUUCAUCUCCUGAUAUCCCGACAUAAAAGUAGUUAACAUAGUGUCUCUUUCCUUGAAGUCUUUGAGUAUAACUUAGUAUAGUGUAGCAUCAAACAUAUCAAGACAGUGUAAAGCCAUUCAAGAGAAUGACAGUAUUACAGGGUAUUUAGAACCAACUAACAGAAAAUGAACAUUGGUUUCUGUAUAAUCUCCUUGUCUAUAAAAAAUUUUUGUUUAUAUUAUUACAUAUAAUAAAAUCCAAUAAGAUACAACAUAUUAAGACCGACGGAGACAGAAGAACAAAAGCUUGAUGGGACUUCAAAACAAGAUGUUAUUGAAUCAGCACUAGCUAUUAUGAUGUCUUGUUUUCUCCAAAAUAGCUGUUCCCCCUUUUUUUUAAGGACCCUUCUUUAGCUUCCUGGACUUCUGGAACAGGUAUGUGUGAUAAGAUUCGUGAUGAAGGUCCUCAGCCUUAGCAGGAUAUUCACUUUACUAAGAGCAGAAUCAAGACUUCACACAAAUUUCAGUGUCUUAACGGACUCCAGAUUGUGUGUUCCAGUUCGUUCCUUUCACCCAACUUAUAUCCAUCUCUUGACUGUCUGACCCUCCAGAAACAGAAACAAAAAUCAUAGCACUGUAGAUACUGAUUAAUUAGAUUCCACAAGUGCUUCUGACCAAGUCCGUCUAACAGAACAGACACACACACACACAUAUUUUGUAAUUUAUUCUGCUUCUCUGAUGGAUCCUUAACUGAUACACAGCAAUAGACAUUCUAGCUCUAGUCUUUUAUCUAGUCACAAGGACUCAGACCCCCAUAUCUGCUCAACUAUCCUUGCUACAAGGGCCUGCUUCCUCAAGGUCAUAUGAUUUGCCCGUCAUAGUCCCAGGUUCAUCAAAAAGAGGAGGAAAAGGGCCAACAAGUCCUCCCAUAAUUUUUAUUUGCAAAAGAAUCCAAGAAAUGGAAUUUAGUUUGUUACUUCCCAUUUUUCUAUUACCAAGAAAAGGAGAAAUGCAUAUUGGGAAGUGGUCAGCUCUACAGGAGGGGUGUGUAGCACUAGAUGAGGUUCUAGAGUCCAAGCUGCUUCUCUACCCAUAAGGAUCAUAUAAUCCAAUAUGACAUAAUAAUAGGCCUGGUACGGAUUCCAUAGAAGUGCACAAUUUGAGAUUAAAUAUCUAAUAAUGAUAUAGAUGGCCCGAAAUAAGUUAUAAUUCAGUUCUGUGAAGGUGAUGAUAUAUAGUGGUCUUCUUUACCCUCAAUGGUUAGAUUCUAAGACCACUCCCCCCACCCACGCCUAGAACAAUGGGUAGUACCAACCCCACGUCUUUUCCUAGAUGCCACAUAGUACUAGGUUAAUCUGUCUUUUCGUAUUUUAUACUCUGAUACCUCAUUUGCUUCACUACCCUUACAUUUCAGGGCCAUUAUUAGAUAAAAUAAGAGUUACUUGAACACAAGCACAAUAUCAUGGCAAUUAAUACAGUUACUAACUGAUGAACAGGCAGGUAGCAUAUAAAGUGUGGAUACACUGGCAAAGGGAUGAUUCACACCCCAGGCAGGAUGAAGCGGGAAGCUGUGAGAUUUCAUCCCACUACUAAAACAUUAGUAAUUUCACACUCAAAUUGUAUAUUUCUGAAAUUUUCCAUAGUAUAUGCAGACCCUUGUGGACGGCAGGUGACCAAAACAGCAGAAAGCAGCUUGGACAACAGAGGGGCUCUGUGCUUACUACCUGAAUAAAGUUUUCUGGAAGAGGUCACCCCACACUCUGAUUCUAAGGAUUGCACCAACUCCCUGACCUGAUUGUGAGUCUUCGCUGGGAACCAUGUUCAAAGCACAGCAGUGAAUUCAAGUGCUGACAACACAGUGUACUUCGAGAGCCUCUGACAUCUCCAUAAGAAUCUCUUAUGUAUGAACCAUUUGGAAUUGAGCUUUAGUGGAAAAUUUGCAUGACAUUGUCCUGGUUACUUUUCUUUUUGUUGUUGAAACAAAAUACCUGAUGCCCAAAAUGAAGGAAGGAAAAUAUUAUUUAGCUUACAGUUUUUGGAGGUUUCAGUCCAUAUUCAGCUGGCUCCAAGGCAGGGUUCUGUGGCCAAGAGGCAGCUGUUCAUGAAGGCCACAGGCAACAAGACUGAAAAGGCCAAAAAGGGAAAACCAGGCCUCUUUUCCUCCCUUAUAUUGUGUGGGGCUACUCGCCCCUGGGCAGGUGCAGAACUCACAUGGCCACUCCAAGCACUAGACAACAAGCCAAUCACAAACACUAGAUUCAGCCGCUUCCAUGACUGCAUUAGGCUUGGGUGGCCAUCCAAACACAAGCCAUAACAGAUGUCUCCUCCUAGUUCUUUUGGUAGCAAUCUCAUAGAGCAUGCGUUUUAGAUAAAGGGAUGAAAUGGGUGGGGAAAAGUGAAGAAUGUUUCUUCUUGGAAAAACUUAACAAUCUAUAUAAACCUUUCAUAUUUGUUAUGUGGAACUGGGUUUGAAAAAAAUUACACAUUUCACUGUCAUGUGUAAUCUAUAGUGAUAAUGUUGUCACUAUUAUUUUCUAAGCUCUGUAGGCUCUGUAGGCAAGGAUUAUCUCUCUUUCAUAUUGUAUUGAAAUCCAGAAAGAUCACAUAAAGGAUGGUGGGAGGAUUCUUAUUGUAGAAGAGUCAACAAAGGCAAUGGGAAUUUCAUAGACGUAUUACUGACGAGCCAAAGGAGGAUUAAAGCCCUUCUGUUAACAGCAAUAUGGAUUAUUUUUUACCUUUGUGGUACUGAGGAUUGAACCUAAAGCCUUCACACCAGAUCAUUAACUUGUCCAAACUGGACAUGAAUUUGCCAUCCUCCUGCCUAGUCCUUAGAGCGUACUAGGAUUACAAGGAUAUCUGCCUCAGACUGAGUUUUUAAGUCAAUAAUUUUCAUGAAGUUAUAUCCCAUUCCUAUUUAUUUUUAUUAUUAGUCAGUUGCUUUUAUUAUUAGUCAUUAAGUUGCUUUGGUUGGCCUCAGACUUAUGAUCCUCUUGUCUUAGCCACCUCAGUAACUGAAAUUAUAGGUGCAUGUCAUUGAGUCUGGCAGGAAAUAACUUUUAAAAACAUAAGUAUUAACUACAACUUUCAAACAGAGUCAUAGCAAGUUUUUUAUACAAAAAAUAUAAAUAGCCAUACCAGUUCAUGUAAGUAGGAAUAUUCUACAAGGAAGGAGGAAUAUUACACAUUUUCAGUAUUUUUGAAAGGAAACUAUAAUACUGUAUCUAAAAUUUUACAGAAAUUGUUUUCAGAAUAUCUUCCAAAAUAUCUAAUCUUCUAUAUUUUCAAAAAAGUCACCAAAUAUUAGAAACAUGUUAACCACUAGCAUAAUCAUAAAAUUUAAUGUACUAUAACUUCAUCAUUUGUCUGGGAAAAUGCUUUGCACAUAAUUUUCCUUUCUGACAUUUAAAAGAACUUGUCAAACAAGAUAAAGUGGAUAAUGGAUUGGUUAUUGGAGGAAGCUGAGCCAUUUCUAUGGUGACAAACGUACUUCUGUGGAUGAAAUAUUUGAAAGUCAAAAUUAUCUUUUUUGUCUUUGCUCUGUGCAAAUUUAGUUUGUACCUACACGAAUAUUUUCACUCAUUGACUGAGUCAAUCAUUCAUUCAUUUAUUUUUUUAUAUUAUUUUAGGCUUUCAAGAGAAACAUGAUGGGGACGGAGGAGAGGAGAAACUAAUUAGGGAAAUUGGUUCAUGUGAUUAUAGUGGCCAAAGAGUCCAACCAUAUGUGAUUUGCAAGCUAGAGAGCCAUGGAAUUCAGUUGUUUAAUAUUGAGUCUUAAGGUCUGAGGACAUUAGGGUGGACUACUGCUGUUACUUCUAGCCCAUUGUAAAAGGAUUAUACUGGGAGUGUGAGGAGGUGCUUGUUUAAGUCAUGAUAUCUGAAGAUGCAAGAACAUAGACCCCUGAUGUCCAGUGACAGGACAAGAUGGACAGCCCACUGAGUUUGCUCCUCUUCCACCAUUUUGUUCUGUUUGUUCUACCCAGCGUCACAGUGGACUGGAAUAUGCCUUCCUGACAUCAUUGUGAAGCCAGAUCUUCUUUUCUUAGUCUACUGACUCAAAUAAUAAUGUUUUCCAGAAACAACCUAAGAGAAAUACUCCGCAGUAACAGCUUACCAGAAAUCUGAGUAUCCCCCAGUCAAAUAGACAAAUACAAUGAACCACAACAUUGCUUUAUUGAUUUAGCUAAUUGAUUAUUUAAAAGCUUACUCUAUACUAGAAAUUUGUGCAACCCAGAGAACAUGAAAGCAGUAACAUAUCUUGGCCUACUUUUAAGAAGAUUAUUGCGUCGUAAGAGAUACAAGCAGUUGCGUUAGAGGGCUUAGUGCGGUGACAAGAGAGCAAUGUGGAGCAAUAAAUAAUAGACGUGUUGAGGGAAUCCAGGGAAGGGAACUGAAGGAAAGUGACAGAAGCAAUCCAGGUACAUGCAGAACUUAAGCAGGUAAGAGGAGGAAGGCUAUGUGGACAGUACCCAAAGGUGCAAGAGACUGGGAGCACCUUUGGAGGUUCAGUAAGAGGUCCCUCAGGAUAAAAAGUACAAGGAAAGCAAGAGAGAACCGAUCUGGAAAAGUAAGCAGGGUCUGAAUCCAGAAGGCUUUCCAUGUCAACAGUGCAUUUUAGUCUUAUAGCAACGAAGAGACCCUGAAGGAUUCUAAAUAGGAGAGCAGUAUGGUCAUAUUUGUUUCAGAGCAAUCAUUCUAAAUGCAGAAUAAAGUAAAUUUAAAAUAGAGUGAGAAUGGGGAGGGGAAAUAAGUUAGGAGGUUUUUAAAGCAAUCCAGGUAAGAGACACCAGAGGCGACAGAGAGUGUUGGCAUUGGAGACGGAGGGGAUGAACAGAUGAAAUUGUUCCGGUAGGACUGAAAGGGAUUGGAAUGGCUUUGAGUCAAGGAGAGGAAGGAGUCCAAGAUGGUGCCUAUGCUUCUGGCUUGCAUUCCGUGAAGACUUGAUUCCAUUCACUGAGGAUGAAGGAUUGCCUAGGAUGAAGAACUGGUAAAGAGAGAGAGAACAAACAAGGUUUUGUGUUUAGGAAGACUUAUUGAAGUUGGAGGUGACUGUAAGCAAUCUGAAUAGCAGUUUGCACCAGGUACAUGGGCCCAGGUCUCAAGCGUGCUGGAAUAACAUCAAAGCAAGGGAAGAAAUCACUGUUGGGACCAGAAUAGAUGCUAGUGUGGAAGUAUAUAUGAAACGAUAGCCAGAAGAGACACCAAUAGACAGAAGAAUGGGUUAAAUGGCACCGUAAGAACAUUGUCAGCAAAUCCAGGAAAUGGAAGAAUGAAGAAUGAAAAAAUCAUGAAAAAGGGGGGAGCCUUAAAUUCCCUGACAAUUAAGAGACAUAAAAACCAAAUGCCAGGCAUAGUUCUUGUUUAAAUAAGCUCUAAAAAUAAUAAAAUAUGAGUAAGUGGACAAAUCGCAACACUGCCUGAAUAUUUAACAGUAUUAUUGUUAUAAGUAUGAUACAGAUACUGUGGGGUUUUUUCCUUAACAAAAAUAUCUCUUAGAGACGCAUACAGAAAUAUUUACAGAUAAAUUGAUGUUAUAUCUAUGAUUUACUGCAAAAAUUUUGUUGGAGUAAAUGUGGAUAGGGCUUCUGGGGUACUGAACAAGAACGGGUCAUGAGUUUAUAACUGUGGAAGCUGGAUAAUGAACACAUAUAUUUACCAAGCCAUUUCUUUCAUUUUGUGGAUAUUUAAAAUUUUCCACAGCAAGAAUAAAAAAUACUAAGAGUCCUUUUCUGCACUACAAAAUGGAAAAGUUAUGCAAUAGAACUUUUCUAACCAAAUGAAAUCUUAUGCAGAAACCCAGUCUACAAAGAACAGAUUUUAAGAACAGCUAGGCUUACCUCCUUGCCUUGACGUUUAGAUUCUCCAAACUCUAAAUCUUUCUCAAAUCACAGAUGUUAAAUGGACUGGCAUAUAGAAAGCCGGUAAUGAGUAGUUGUAUUACUGAUACAUAUUUCAGCUUUUACCUCAAAUCAGUAGCUCUCACCCAAGAGGCAGCGAGUUUUAUCUAGAUUUUGUCCACUCCUGCACAGUGGACAUUAUUUACCGUGAAAUUAAGUCAAACAGUUGUCUGAAUUUCUUUCAAAGCAGUUUCUACAGCUGAAUUGAUCAGAUAGAAUACAAUGUCUUGAACAUUCUCCACUUUUAAAUUUAAUCUUAAAUGGUAAAUUUUAAUGUUCAUAAAAAAUAAAACAUUAACUGUAAUGAUACACAGAGUACUUUUAUAUGCAGGGGGCCCUAUUGAUUCAAUCUUAUAUAAUCAUAUGAAUAAAAACUGUGAAAUUAACACGGUAUUAUAUCAUUAACUAAACUGCAAACUGUAUUUUGGUUUUUGUAAUACUUUCAUUGUGUAUUUUUAUUGUGGAAUUCAACCCAAGAUAUCAGAUUACCUUUAGCUGAUCUCAAUCUUCCCCAAUAUGUGAGAGCUUCUCCUCUCCUUGUCUUUCAUUAGUUGACACUGAAUUGUACUUAUUUAAAUAUCAAUGUACUAACAUUAUCUUCCAAGAUUGCAGUAUUCUGUAAAGAGCAGAUAGUCCUUGGUAAUUGGUUUGCUGAAAA